rnacentral:lncRNA from 1 species
GCUCAAUUCUUCUUGAAUGGGUUCUUGAUGGCUGCAGUCAUCUGAGGAUAUCAGACCCUUGCUUCAAUUCUCCAGUAGCCUUUGGUCUUAGACUAGGGUAGCAUCAUUGAUCCCUCUUGUUCUGGGGCUUUAGCUUCUUGGACUGUGCAGCUACUGGUCCUUCCAGCUCUCCAGCCUGCAGAAGGCCAUCGUGGACUAUCUAGCUUCUGGUCGAGUAAGACAACUUAAUAAGUCUGCCUUUUAUAAUAAUACUUUCUGUUGAUUCUUUUCCUCUAGAGAACCCCUGACUAAUACAGUUGGUUUUGUGAAGUCAGCAGAUAUAUUUUUAAAUAAAGUACUAGACAAUCCAAUUACUUUAUUUCUUAUAUCUUUAGAUAAUAAGUAUUACUAGGUUCCUGUUUAUAAUGGAAAUUUCAAUUCUUUUUAAAAAAUUUUAUAUUUUUUGUACAUAGAUACAACUUUUUAAAAUGUUUUUUAUUUAUUUUUAUGUGGUGCUGAGAAUUGAACUCAGUGCCUCAUACAUGGGAGGCAAGUGCUAUACCACUGAGCUAUGGUCUCAGCCCUCAAUUCUUUUUUUUUUUUAAUAUUUAUUUUUUAGUUUUUGGCGGACACAACAUCUUUGUUUGUAUGUGGUGCUGAGGUUCGAACUCGGGCCGCACGCAUGCCAGGCGAGCGCGCUACCGCUUGAGCCACAUCCCCAGCCCCUCAAUUCUUAACUAUACAUUCAAAAUGUAUUUCUAGAAGAGAAUAAAAGCCGAAGUUGUUUGGAAAUGUGGUUAUUAGAUUUAAAUCACCCUGAAAUACUGUUUAAGGGCUAAUACUAACCAGUAAAGAACAUAUUCAUGAAUAUGUUUCACCAUUUUGAUUUUUGAAGUUUACGGUAUCAUUUUCUCUAUUUAUUUAUUUAUUUAUUAGUUGUUGAUAGAAGUUUAUUUUUCUUUGUUUAUAUGUGGUGCUGAGAAUUGAACCCAGUGCUUCACACAUGCUCGGCAAGUGCUCUACCACUGAGCCACCACCCCAGCCCCCAGUUGUACUGUUCUUAAGAGCAGACCUUUCCUUCAUAAAAAUAAAAUAAAUGGCAAUUUGUCUCCUGUGGAAAUCCUAAUUGCCUGAAUUACUGAUAUUUUAGAAAUAGACUGUUUUUAAAUGCCAUAUGUAAUUUUAUCAUGUUAACUAUAUAUCUUUGGCUUAAUAAAUUAUACGCUCAUUUUGUUGUCCACUAGUUUAAAAUAAUUUGUUUAAUAAGAAAUGUGUUUUUAGAGGAAAUGAAACACUGUUACGGAAUUAAUUUCCAAUUACACAGUUUUCUAUAACUUACUCAUAUAUGCUAUAUAUACUUUAUAUAAUUUCCCUAAAAAGAAUAAACUAUUACUAUGGUGUUAAACCAAAAUAUAGGAAACAUAAACACAAACUGCUGCUUAUGAUCAAUGUUGCUACUACUUGCUACACAUAUAAGCAUUUUACUUUUUUAUAUGUAUAGAUUUCAUUUUAAAAAUAUAUUUGCAUUUAAAAUAAAAAUAUAUAUUUUAGUGUUAUUAUAGAAAUGAUGUUUCUUGGUUCAUAGCUAUUAUACAAACUGAAAUGUUUUUGCAUGUAAUUUUGUUUUGUAUAUUCCUUGUAAAACUUUAUAACUGUUGCCUGUUAGUGUUUUGCAGCAUUGCUUCUUUUUUUUUUUUUAGUAUUUAUUUUUUAAUUUUAGGUGGACACAAUAUCUUCAUUUUAUCUUUAUGUGGUGUUGAGGAUUGAACCCAGUGCCUCCCGCAUGCCAGGUAAGUGCGCUACCAUUUAAGCCACAUCCCCAGCCCGCUGCAUUGCUUCUAAUAGGAUAAUCUGAAUUAAUUUGAGACAAUAGGCCAUCACCUAUAGGACAGAUAAUGCUGACUUCCCAGUACUAAUACUGACCCCAAUUAAUUAUAGACAUUAAAGUUAAAACCUAGCUACUCCUACUUCAAGACUGGUAAAACUGACCUACCUGCUAGAUGUUUAAAACCCAAAAUUUAUAGACCAAAAUCAAGGAAGUAAAAGGGCCAAGGAAAAAGUAGCCAAUAUUUUGGCCCUUGCCCUCUAAGGUCAGCUAGGAUGCAGGGAAAAAUGGGUCCCCUAUAAGGGCCCUGCAACUCUAGUGAGUCACCUGACCUCCUAAUCCCCUCUCUAGGGGAUCAAGAGGAUCCUAGAGAACAGGAAGUCAACUAGUGCACAUUCUUCAAAGUGGAGUGUCAUCGAAGAGGGAAAUGUGCCUGAUGUUUUCAAGGAAAGCCACAUGUGGUCAAAAAGACCCUGACCUGCCCUGACAGAUGGCACAUUUGGAAGAGGAAAAGCUAAAGGAGCCAAAAGGCUUCUCAUAAGUCCUUAGGGGUGAUCCCUGACAAAUAUCGGCUGACUCUAACAGUAUAUAGGAUAAAAGGUUAUUUUUUACCAACUCUCUCUUAGAUACCUGGCAGGAGAGUAUAACCCAAACACAGCUAUACAUGGACAUUUGAUAGAUAAUACAAUGAUUCUUUUAUCGUUAAUUUAGAUAACAUUUGUUUCAGUCCUCCUGAAAGUUAGUAAAACUGGGAGGUUCUAAAGGAAGGGUUUUUUAAACACAGAAGUGCCUGAUAAAUAUCACAAAAGCUCUGCCAAAGUCACAAGUUUGUUCUGAGUCAAUUUGAGACCUACACACUCUUUCUAACUUCCUGCAUAGGUGGACUUGAUCUGUGUCUCUGUUUUGUUGUUGUUGUUUCUAGUAUGAUUACUAUGAGCUGCUGCUCAGACUUCUCUGGAAUUCACAAUUCAUCACUUCCAGCUUGGAUUUAAUCAAGUCUUGGAAAGAAGACAAGCUUCAGCCGAGCUGGAAAGACCUUACUAAGUGCUUCUAAUGACCAGAAUGACUAUCUGAACUGCUAAAAAGGGGAGAACUCAUUAUCAUGAGUGAUUUCCACCUCAAAAAGUUAAUGUCUAGGAUGGAUGACAGUAUCAAAGGAUACAAGAACAAAAGUGAAAAUAAGAUAGAAAGGUAUAACAAGAAAAAGGGACAACUUCUGAGAAAUAGAAAGUUCAGUGGUCCAUUUUCAGAAUAAGAAUUGAGCCUUAAUUGGAAUAUAAGAUCCAAUCAUAGCCAUUUUGAGAUCCAAUUAUAGCCAUUUUUAACUAUUCCCCUUCUCUUUGCCCUCCCCAAUUUUAAAAUUAGCCCCUCACAUAGAUUGUAACCCAAAGCUCCUCCUAUCAAAGCAAGGGACAGUGCUGCCUUAGGGAUGAAAGCAUGUGGACUUCCUGCCGAAGUCUGCCUUGCUUGCCAGACUUUAUUCAGUAGCACAUCCUUCUGCAGAAGUAAAGUUUGGGGGCUGGGGCUGAAGCUCAAUGGUAGAGCACUUACCUAGCAUGUGUGAGGCACUGGGUUCAAUCUGUAGCACCACCUAAAAAUAAACAAUUAAAAUAAAGCUAUGCUGUCCAUCUACAAGUACAAAAAAAAAAAUUAAAGUUUGCCUUUACUUGUUGGAAGUAAUGCUCCUUACAACCAUGUGUUUGAUUCCUUGUGGCACCCCAGUGUUCUAAUACUUCUUUUGUGACUUGUCCAAUCAAGUCCUUGGCCCAUUUUUCCAUUUACUUUUCUGUAUUUCCCUAUAUAUUUGUAGGAACUCUUUGUAUAUUCUAGAUAUGAUUCUUUUGCUAGAAAAAAAAAUCUGUUGAAAAUACAUUUUCCACACUAUGGUUUACCUUUUUCGUUUUUAUUAUUUUUUUUUAAGAUGAACACGACAUCUUUAUUUAUUUAUUUUUAUGUGGUGCUGAGGAUUGAACCCAGUGCCUCACAUGUGUGAGGCAAGUGCUCUACCACUGAGCUAUAACUCCAGAACCCAUCUUUUUAUUUUCUGUAUUGUGUCUUUCAAUGAACAAAUUGUUAACUUUAAUACAGUUCAAUGUAUCUUUUUGGUUAAUAAAUUUUCUGCCCUGUUUAAAAAUCUUUGCCUACCCUAAGGUAAUGAAUAUAUUCUCUUAUGCUGAAACUUUAUUAUUUUACCUUUUAUAAACAUCUGGAAUAGAUUUUGUGUAUGGUCUGAGGUAGGGGUCAAGGUUUAGUGUUUGUGGAGGAAGAACAGAGGCUGUACUGGGAGCCUUAGAGUUCUACCUUAUACUGUAUUGAAUUGUUUGAGGAAGAAAGGGGCCAUAGGUCUUGUGUAUAUAUUUAAAUGUAUUUGGGUUGGGAGAAGGCCUUGGUCUGUGCCAGAGAACUCCUCGUGGUCCCCUGACUACUGGGCAUGGCUAUAUCCAUUCUGAGUUCCUUCUCCCAAUUAUCCCCUACCAACCCCUGAGACCCCACCCCUACCCCACCUUAGUUGCUGGAUCUAUUCACAUUCAUAAAGAUGGGAAUUGAUUUUCCACUUGUAGGAUUUUUCUACCAUACUCUCUGUCUUUAUUCACAUUCUGCAUUGUUAAUUAGUUCAGCCCCUCCCUCCAGACAAACAUUUUUUUUUGCUUUUAUCUGUAUUGCUAGAUGGAGAUUUUGGAUUAUAUCUCAAAAGUAGGUGCUUUGCUAGGGAGUGGUAGUGCACACCUAUAAUCCCAGCUGCUCUGGAGGCUGAGGCAGGAGGAUUGUGAGUUCAAAGCCAGCCUCAGCAAAAGCGAGGCACUAAGCAACUCAGUGAGACUCUGUCUCUAAAUAAAAUACAAAAUAGGGCUAGGGAUGUGGCUCAGCGGUCGAGUGACCCUAAAUUCAAUCCCUGGUAGCCCCCUCAAAAAGCAGGUAUAGUUUAUUUCAGCUUGUUCCUUUAGAAAAGAAAUCGUAUAAAUUUUUGUCUAUGUACAGGGCUCAUCCAAAUAGUCUCCAUGCUUUUGUGGAUAUAAUUUUAGUGAUGAAACAAGAUUUCUCUGUGUCUGAGAUGUCAGUUGGGGUCAUCUUUUCUUUUGAGAUUAGACAAAAUUGCUGCUAUUCCUUUACCUUAUAUAAAGGAAGAACUCUGGUGCCAUUCUAGAGCCUUCUAUGAAAUCUGGGAUGGGGAGGAGUUUAAUUUUUUCAUGAAUUCUCUCUCUUAUUAUUAUACAAGUCAGUGUUGAAUUUUAUUUGACUGAAGAAUUACCCUCUAUGAAUAGUCUACACGAUAUAAUUACACGUGAAAAUGUUUCCAAGGAAGUUGAGAAAACACGAAUUCAGUAAAAGCUGGAACUUGCUAAAAUGUGUUAUAAUUUGAUGAUGUCAGCUGGGCAUGGUGACCCAUGCUGUAAUCCAGUUACUCAGAAAGCUGAGGCAGUAGGAUCAUAAAUUCAAGUCCAGCCUGGGCAACUUAGCAAGACCCUGUCUCAAAAUAAGAAAUGUGAAAAUAUAAAAGACUGGCAAUGUAGCUCAGUGGGAGAGCUCCCCUGGAUUCAAUCCCUGGUACCAUCAAAACCAAAAACAAAACCCCCAAACAACUGAGUGGCAAAAAUAUAUGUAAAUAUAUGUAAAGCUGGGAUUACAGACUGUGGGUUUGAUCCUCACCACCAAAAAAAAAAAAAGGCAAAACAAACAAACACAAAACAAAAUAAGAUUAUGUGAAGCAGAAAAAAGCUUUGCAAGGCUUAUGAAAAUGUAAUUUGGGGAUGGGAAAGAGGAUAAAAUGAAUUGGACAUAGCUUUCCUGUGUUCAUAUAUGAAUAUACAACCAGUGUAACUCCAUAUCAUGUAGAACCACAAAAAUGGGAAGUUAUAUUCCCUGUAUGUAUGAUGUGUCAAAAUACAUUCUACUGUCAUGUACAAUUUAAAAGAAUACAUAAAGAUUUAAAGAAGCAAAUACAAAAAAGUAUAAUUUUAAAAAACUGUAUGUUUAUUAAUUGUGUGAAGUACUUUGCAGAAAAUAUUUGAAUCUAUCAUGUGUUAUUAAAUUAUUAAUGCAUUAUUAAACUAAUGUGUCAAUUUUAGUUUUCAUUUGUUCUCAUAAACUUAAUUAUUGCUGGGGCUGGGAGUUUUAGCUCAGUGACAGAGUGCUUACUUUUGUGUGUAAGGCCUUGUGUUUAAUUUCCAACAUCAUACAAUAAA